UUGGAGUGGGGUUCUAGGCAGGGCCUAAUGGUGUAUGAGUCACAGGCAUCCAUCCCAUCAGAGAGCUCUUUCUGCCUGAGCUGCUCUUUGGGGUAAGUGCUUUGCUUUUCCUUUAGUUGGUUGCAGGGUUCUUCAGGUGGGUCAGAGUCUAUGGGCUGAUGCGUUUCCCAGUUAAGAGAGGUAAGCACGUCUUUUUGAGGUAACAACUAGUCGGGUGUUUUAGAGUAAAGCAAUCUAUAUAAUAGUAGGUGCCUUUAUUGCAUACAUCUCUUCUUCAGGGGAGUAAUUUUUACAGCAUGCUUAUUGAUAGGAAGAUGAUGUUACUUUGCGUGUUUGUUCUGUGGUUCUAGGUCCCUUGUGAUUUUUGCAGAAUUACGGGGCUUACUGUGAAUGUGACCUUAUGCCUUCACCUGUGUGUCAAAUAUUAUUCAAGUUACAACCUUGGUGGUAAAGUGAUGGAGAAGGGUUUAGGGGAAAUGUAUCAUCCAAGUUCCCUGUGCCAGUAUGUAUCUGAAAACAGCAGCCGUAGGCACGUAAGGUGUAGUCUUUUUCAGGGUUAGGGACAGUUUGUUAUAUUUUUGGAGCUUUUUCCUCCUGUUUUGCUGGGUGUAGAGUCUUUAGACCUUAUAGCCUUCCAGAUUUUAAGUGCUUGGAAUUCCCUUAACAGAGGGAUAUUUAGCAAAGGUUGCCGGGUAACUUGUUUUUGUGACGUGGUGGGGUAAGCUUCUGUUUUUGGCUUAUGUUUUAAUCUCUAGGUAUAUCAAGCCAUUUGCAUAACUCUCCAGAGGAUUCACAAAGAGCUUCAGUAUGCACCGCAAGGGGCUUGACCGCAUAGGCGCAGUAUUACCGAGAGACUGAGCAGGGUCACCUUUUUCAGCUGUAAAGGAUAAGUCUGUGAUCACCCCUGUUGGGGCUGCUGUGCAUUCAUGGCCUGUUGGUAUUUGUAGACCUGAGGGUUUUUUUGUUUGUCUGUUUUUUUCUGGCUCUGGUCUCUGUGCUUUGGUCCUCUGCAAGGAGCCAUACUGUUUGCGUGUUUGUCACGGACAUGACCGUCUCUUUUUGUUUCUUGUAGCCCAGGUCAUAGGCACGGGCUAAGCUGGGAGUUUGAAUGAGGUACAAGGGUGAGUGGAUGGUGGUGUGGGCCAUGAGUUGGUCGGUUGGUUUUGUUAGUCUGUUUUGCCUGUCGGGCAGGCUUGGCAAGCACCUUGCGACAGCAUUGUGCAUCUCCUGCCAUGUUCCUGUGUCACGCCAGACGUCAGCGGUUCCAGUUCCUGAAAUGCUGGAGAUGCUCCAAGUGCAAGAGGAGCAGGGAGCGUGAUGCAUCUCUUUGGGACGUUAGCCACGUGACCUUGGCUCGGCAUGGCGAAUGGAAGCGCUAAACCUCGAUCAGGAAGGUGAAGAGGAGCCUUGUGCCUGAAGCAAUGUCCUGGCUAGCCUUUGUGUUCCUUGUUGAGGAUGGAACCUGCCUCCCAGCGUUUCCAAGCUAAGAUGGGGGGCAAAUGCUAUGUUUGGGUCAGGGUUGUGAAUGGGCACGCAGGGCAAGGGUAUAUGCUUUGAAGUCGUUGCAGUGGAUGGGGCCUCUCAGGAUUGGUCAUGGUCAGGCAGAGAGGGGGUGUGGGGGGGGGUCUGUCAGGUACAGCAUGAGCAUGUAUGUGCCAGGCAGGGCAGUUCCAGCUUGGUGUCUGUGCUGUGCUGUACGAUAGUCUUCAUUUCCUGUUGCUCUUGGUGCUCAGCAAGCCCUGCAGAAGCCAUCCUGAGGGUAUUGAACACUUCACCUCAUGGGAAUAACACCAGUUGAGCGCUGCUUGUCUUGCAGUGGGAGCUUAAAGAGCUCAUUUCUUUUGUGCGUGUAAUUUUUUGUAUCAUAAAUGUUUCCUGAUAUGGAAUAUCAUAUUCAUCAUAUGUUACGCAUGUCCUCGGGUCUUGUUAUCCUCAUUGCUUUUUGCAUUGGACUGACUAGAGAGGCAACUUGGUAGCCAAGCCAAAGGUUCUAAAUGCUUGUUUCUUCAUCACGAGGCUGAUCAAGCGCUUCUUGUCUUGCAGUUACAGCUUAAAGCACAGAUCCGUUUCAGGUCUUGUGCAUCAUGUUCGGUUUCAGAUGGUAUCCAUUUCCUUCCUUGCCAUUGCGGAAGUCAUGUGGGCCACAUCAGGAUCUCUUCCUUGAGUACUCUUUGUCCAAGAGUUCUCUUACAGGGUUUGCACUCCAUUCUUCCAGUCUCUUGUCGUAAAACUGGGCUUUUUAUGCCUCCAUCAUCUCAGUUUUGGCGGUCGCUUUCAGUCACAAGUCGUGGCAUUUGAGUAUCUCUGGGAGAGCAUCUGUGCCGACUUGCUGUCGCCGUAGGGCUUCCUUCUGGGAGUCAUUCUUCUGGCACCUCGUGUUCUCCUGUGUUUUGUUCAUAAUGUUUGUAGCGUGCCUGUGUGUGUUUGGCCUGGAACUGUCCUGCCUGACACUUAGUGAUGAUAGCUAAUGUGGCGGUCCAAAGACGUCUGGUCUGUCUCUGGGCAGGUACUCAAGGGCAGCUGCCACAGAGUCAUCUCUGUGGUGUUUGGCAGAUGUGGAGGGGGAGAUUGAGCUGCUUGUGAGCAGCUGUUUGCAUAGUGCUUGAAUAGUGCUGGAGGAGUAGAGAAACCUUAGGAGGAACUGGUCAAAGGAAAGAGUGCCUUCUAGAACUGUCACCUUCUGGAACUGUCAAGCUCUUGGUCGGCAACUCAGUGACUGGCUUGAUCUACUUUCCAGACUACGUUAUAAUUUGUUAGCGCUGAAAUGAAGCAUGCAACACAGGACGUCAUGACCCGAGCUGCAUCUGGCAAGCUCUCUUUGUCCUGCUUGCCUUGCCACCCUGAAGCCGCAGCCUUUUCCUUUGGCCUUCCCCAUCCGGCCCACCUCCGUCCCCCCUUGCUGGCCGCUCUCGGGCAGCUCUGGCACACUAUGCAAUUGCUUCCCGGGGAUUUCAUCUCCUACAUCACUGCACCAGGAAGUUUGGGCCAGCAUUCAGGUCGUGUUUUCUCCUUCCCAGUUUAUCUUUCUUGCUUAAAUCCCCAGUUGCCUCUCUGUAUCAAUGCUAAAUAAUUCCUGUCUUUACUUAGCGCUCACAGUGCUUGGAAGCCAGAACACAAAUGCAGGACUGUGCGUUACAUACGCUUCUAGUAAUGAUCCAGUCAUGUGCUAGUGUGGGGAGGGGAUGAUAAAGAUCCUUCAGCUCCAGCCCUUUUGCUCUCCUGCUGUCCCCGUGGGAAUUAGUGUAUCUCUGUUUAACUAUCCUUUAGCUGCAGUGUUCGUGCGAGGCUGGUUCUUUGAGCCAGAUAGCUCUUUCUCAGACACUUAGGGGCAUGUUAAGACUCUUGUCUAGAGAAGAAAAUCGUCCUGGUGAGCGUAUUGCCCCACUGCGUUCUUGUAGGUGUCCUACAAAUGCUGUGCUGUGUCAAGGUUGUUCUGUGCUGUGCCUGCAGCUAAGAAACCUUCAGCGUGAGCUCUCCACCCAGCGUCCCCUGUCAGUGUUCCCAGCACACAGGGGUGGACAGCACCCACAGGAAGCACUCUGGCAGCUCUACGGCACUUCCCCUGCUCCCCUCGAGCAAGGAGGGUGCUAGGGGAGGACUGAAUAUGGGCAGAGACGGUGCAGUUGCGACUGUUCCAGGUCUGAAGCAAGGCUGUGAACAAGGCUGCUGUGGCACAGGCCCCAGGCUUGGGGUGCCCUGCCUCUUCUCAGACAGCUGGACUCUGCUGACGGACUGCAUAAGCAGGACACAUCCCAGCACUGACACCAGCUCACUGUGUAGCCUUGGGAAAGUCUUCCAAGGCUGGGUCAGAAAUUAAAUUAGCUGAGUUACUGCAGUGGUUAGACUGUGGUUGGCUCCAAAGACUGUCUGUGCACCUGGUUCUGCAAUGACCCUGCCUCCCAAAAUUUAUUUAACCUCAGUGAGGCAGGAUCACAUGCCUGCUUCGGUAUGACACCCAUAAUGUUUGUGUUGGUGCAGCACUUUUGACGUUCUGCGGAGGGUUUGACUGGAGACAGCACUGCCAUGGGCACUGCUUUGUUCCCCCAAAUCUAAACUUAUCUACAAAAAGUAGUAACAGUAACUGAGAAGCCCUGCACGCUGUGUGUGUGGUUGCUGAGCUGUGCUUGAUUUGUCUUUACCAAACGAAGUGAUGUGGUGACAUCUGUCUGUGCUUGCAGAGUCUGAAAGCAACAGCUCUGACCUGCCUCAUUAAUCUCAGUGCCUGCCAACCUGGAUGCCCUGUGCUGAUACUCUAAAUAUUGACUCAGUUAACUAUUUUGCUGCCUAUCAAAACAAGGAAAAGGAAAGGGGAAGGAGAAGUUGCACAUUUAGCUAUGGUUAAGAUUGCAUCUCAGCGCUGAGUCCUUGAUCUGGGGAUCUGUUCAUUUCCCUGUCUCCCCCUCCAGCCAGAGGUGUUCAGCAGGACUGAGCCUGCCAUCUGACCUCUGCUCCUGUCCAUCCCUUUUAAGCUUCUGUGAUGACAAAGGAAGCUAAGCUUGCCGAGCCCUGUAAGGCUUAGAACUUUGUGGAUCCCAAGAAGGGGUGGGAGUCCCAGGGAGUCCAGGGAAGGUGUGUUAGCAUGCUCUACACAGUGCUCCCUGCAGCCACCUCUUCUCUCACCCAGCUGGGCUUUGGAAAUACAGUGUCCAGUUUUCCUUUUUUCCCCAGCUUGUUCUGUUCUGUUAUUAAGUAGCAUGCCUCAGAUAUGGCUGCGUGGUUCCUUAUUGCCUCCAUAGAUGUGUUUUUAAUCUGUUUUUAAGAAGCUACAUGAGCCAUAAAGAAGAACGCUAGUUGUGUUCCCUCACAGUGCAUUUUUAAAUACUUGCAUGCAAAGAGUUUUGUUUCUGAUGUGUUUGCACAGUAGAUUUUAAUCCCCAUCUGUAGCACUGGAAGACUGCGGUUAAUAUGGCUUUGCUUUCCAGUGGCACCUUUCAGCUAAUAAAUGAAUUCCCACAGCAUUCAUAUAGAACAAAAACAUAUCAUUAACCCUGCUUUGCAGACACUAUUCAGCUUUUAACUGUUCUGGAAUAUACGCUGCUUGGUUAUAUGUAUGUGUAUAUAUAUGUCCACAGCCAGAAGUACAAAUCUACAAACAGUAAUGAAAUCUUCACAGAAACA